CAGAUUUGAACCUGGGGCCUUCUACAUCCUAAGCCUGAGUUCCUGCCUCUGAGCCACUUCUGGACUUUGGUUCUAACCUUGUUUUCCUGGCAUUGCCUGCAGCACUAGGGGGCUGGACAUCACCAGUGGCUCCUACCUGUCCAUCUAAGUUCACCUGAGGCAGUUCACUCAUUAGCUGAGCAUAAAACACUGCCCCUCCCUGAGAACAUUGUAAUUUCG